rnacentral:rRNA from 2 species
UACGAAGGGGGCGAGCGUUGUUCGGAUUUACUGGGCGUAAAGGGCGCGUAGGCGGCCCUCUUUGUCGCGUGUGAAAGCCCCGGGCUCAACCUGGGAAUUGCGCGCGAAACGGGGGGGCUUGAGUUCGGGAGAGGAGCGUGGAAUUCCCAGUGUAGAGGUGAAAUUCGUAGAUAUUGGGAAGAACACCGGUGGCGAAGGCGGCGCUCUGGACCGAGACUGACGCUGAGGCGCGAAAGCGUGGGGAGCAAACAGG